rnacentral:rRNA from 1 species
CAGCAGCCGCGGUAAUACGAAGGGUGCAAGCGUUACUCGGAAUUACUGGGCGUAAAGCGUGCGUAGGUGGUGGUUUAAGUCCGUUGUGAAAGCCCUGGGCUCAACCUGGGAAUUGCAGUGGAUACUGGGUCACUAGAGUGUGGUAGAGGAUAGUGGAAUUUCCGGUGUAGCAGUGAAAUGCGUAGAGAUCGGAAGGAACAUCUGUGGCGAAGGCGACUAUCUGGGCCAACACUGACACUGAGGCACGAAAGCGUGGGGAGCAAACAGGAUUAGAUACCCGUGUAGUCCCUGUCUCUUAUAC